AGAACGAACGCUGGCGGCAUGCCUAACACAUGCAAGUCGAACGCUCACCGGGCUUCGGUUCGGUGGGAGUGGCGCACGGGUGAGUAGCGCGUGGGAACAUGCCCUGUUGUGGGGGAUAACCGAGGGAAACUUCGGCUAAUACCGCAUGCGCCCGGGGAAACCCGGGGAAAGAUUUAUCGCAGCAGGAGGGGCCCGCGUCGGAUUAGGUAGUUGGUAGGGUAACGGCCUACCAAGCCUUUGAUCCGUAGCUGGUCUGAGAGGAUGAUCAGCCACACUGGGACUGAGACACGGCCCAGACUCCUACGGGAGGCAGCAGUGGGGAAUAUUGGACAAUGGGCGCAAGCCUGAUCCAGCCAUGCCGCGUGAGUGAUGACGGCCUUAGGGUUGUAAAGCUCUUUCGCUAGGGACGAUAAUGACGGUACCUAGACAAGAAGCCCCGGCUAACUUCGUGCCAGCAGCCGC
rnacentral:rRNA from 1 species